rnacentral:rRNA from 1 species
GACGAACGCUGGCGGUGUGCCUAAUACAUGCAAGUCGAACGCAUUUUCUUUCACCGUAGCUUGCUACACCGAAAGAAAAUGAGUGGCGAACGGGUGAGUAACACGUGGGUAACCUGCCCAUCAGCGGGGGAUAACACUUGGAAACAGGUGCUAAUACCGCAUAAUUCCAUUUACCGCAUGGUAGAUGGAUGAAAGGCGCUUUUGCGUCACUGAUGGAUGGACCCGCGGUGCAUUAGCUAGUUGGUGGGGUAACGGCCUACCAAGGCUGCGAUGCAUAGCCGACCUGAGAGGGUGAUCGGCCACACUGGGACUGAGACACGGCCCAGACUCCUACGGGAGGCAGCAGUAGGGAAUCUUCGGCAAUGGACACAAGUCUGACCGAGCAACGCCGCGUGAGUGAAGAAGGUUUUCGGAUCGUAAAACUCUGUUGUUAGAGAAGAACAAGGAUGAGAGUGGAAAGUUCAUCCCUUGACGGUAUCUAACCAGAAAGCCACGGCUAACUACGUG